rnacentral:rRNA from 1 species
AUUGAACGCUGGCGGCAGGCCUAACACAUGCAAGUCGAACGAGUGGCGGACGGGUGAGUAAUGUCUGGGAAACUGCCCGAUGGAGGGGGAUAACUACUGGAAACGGUAGCUAAUACCGCAUACCAUCGGAUGUUCCCAUAUGGGAUUAGCUAGUAGGUGGGGUAACGGCUCACCUAGGCGACGAUCCCUCGCUGGUCUGAGAGGAUGACCAGACACAAGGGAAAUGAGACACGGUCCAGACUCCGACGGGAGGCAGCAGUGGGGAAUAGUGCACAAUGGGCGCAAGCCUGAUGCAGCCAUGCCGCGUGUAUGAAGAAGGCCUUAGGGUUGUAAAGUACUUUCAGCGAGGAGGCGUUACUCGAAGAAGAAGCACCGGCUAACUCCGUGCCAGCAGCCGCGGUAAUUC